rnacentral:rRNA from 1 species
AAAGAAAGGGCCGGGCAAGACCGGUGCCAGCCGCCGCGGUAAUACCGGCGGCUCGAGUGGUGGCCACUUUUAUUGGGCUUAAAGCGUUCGUAGCUGGGUUGUUAAGUCUCUUGGGAAAUCUGGCAGCUUAACUGUCAGGCGUCUAAGAGAUACUGGCAAUCUAGGAACCGGGAGAGGUGAGGGGUACUUCGGGGGUAGGAGUGAAAUCCUGUAAUCCUCGAGGGACCACCUGUGGCGAAGGCGCCUCACCAGAACGGCUUCGACAGUGAGGGACGAAAGCUGGGGGAGCAAACCGGAUUAGAUACCCGUGUAGUCC